GCAUAUCAAUAAGCGGAGGAAAAGAAACUAACAAGGAUUCCCUUAGUAACGGCGAGUGAAGUGGGAAUGGCUCAAAUUUAAAAUCUGGCCAGUUUCUGGUCCGAAUUGUAAUCUAAAGAAGCGUUUUCCGCGUCCAGCUCGAGUAUAGGUCCCUUGGAAUAGGGCAUCAGAGAGGGUGAGAAUCCCGUCUGUGACACGAGUUUGGAGGUGAUAUGAUACGCUUUCGACGAGUCGAGUUGUUUGGGAUUGCAGCUCAAAAUGGGUGGUAAAUUCCAUCUAAGGCUAAAUAAUGGCAAGAGACCGAUAGCGAACAAGUACCGUGAGGGAAGGAUGAAAAGAACUUUGAAAAGAGAGUUAAACAGUAUGUGAAAUUGUUGGAAGGGAAACGAUUGAAGCCAGUCGUGCUGGCGGGAAAUCAGCUUUCGGGAUUACUGGAGGUGCACUUUCUCGCAAGGCAGGUUAGCAUCAAUUUCGCACGUUGUAAAAAGUCCGUCGGAAUGUGACUCCUUUCGGAGUGUUAUAGCCAGCGGUCAAUGCGACGGGUGGGAUUGAGGAUUGCAGCGGGUGCCUUUUAGGCUAAGUGCCUGGCCCUUGUUCGUGAUCGUCUUGGCAACAGCGUGCUGGUGUUGGGAACGAUUCGUGGACMCGGGGUGUAGCGUCACGGUAAACUCGUUAAGGAUGUGACGUAAUGG
rnacentral:rRNA from 1 species